UGGGUAGCCACGCUCCAGCGGAUAAGAGCUGAAAGCAUCUAAGCUCGAAGUCGUCCGAAAGACGAGGCACCUCAGGGGACUCGUAAAAGACGAGAUUGAUAGACAGCGGGUGUAAGGACCGAGGUUCGCCGAGGUCUUCAGCCCAGCUGCACUAACCCCCCGAG
rnacentral:rRNA from 1 species